AGGGGGUCAUCCCGACUUACCGACCCGAUGCAAACUGCGAAUACCGGAGAAUGUUAUCACGGGAGACACACGGCGGGUGCUAACGUCCGUCGUGAAGAGGGAAACAACCCAGACCGCCAGCUAAGGUCCCAAAGUCAUGGUUAAGUGGGAAACGAUGUGGGAAGGCCCAGACAGCCAGGAUGUUGGCUUAGAAGCAGCCAUCAUUUAAAGAAAGCGUAAUAGCUCACUGGUCGAGUCGGCCUGCGCGGAAGAUGUAACGGGGCUAAACCAUGCACCGAAGCUGCGGCAGCGACGCUUAUGCGUUGUUGGGUAGGGGAGCGUUCUGUAAGCCUGCGAAGGUGUGCUGUGAGGCAUGCUGGAGGUAUCAGAAGUGCGAAUGCUGACAUAAGUAACGAUAAAGCGGGUGAAAAGCCCGCUCGCCGGAAGACCAAGGGUUCCUGUCCAACGUUAAUCGGGGCAGGGUGAGUCGACCCCUAAGGCGAGGCCGAAAGGCGUAGUCGAUGGGAAACAGGUUAAUAUUCCUGUACUUGGUGUUACUGCGAAGGGGGGACGGAGAAGGCUAUGUUGGCCGGGCGACGGUUGUCCCGGUUUAAGCGUGUAGGCUGGUUUUCCAGGCAAAUCCGGAAAAUCAAGGCUGAGGCGUGAUGACGAGGCACUACGGUGCUGAAGCAACAAAUGCCCUGCUUCCAGGAAAAGCCUCUAAGCAUCAGGUAACAUCAAAUCGUACCCCAAACCGACACAGGUGGUCAGGUAGAGAAUACCAAGGCGCUUGAGAGAACUCGGGUGAAGGAACUAGGCAAAAUGGUGCCGUAACUUCGGGAGAAGGCACGCUGAUAUGUAGGUGAAGUCCCUUGCGGAUGGAGCUGAAAUCAGUCGAAGAUACCAGCUGGCUGCAACUGUUUAUUAAAAACACAGCACUGUGCAAACACGAAAGUGGACGUAUACGGUGUGACGCCUGCCCGGUGCCGGAAGGUUAAUUGAUGGGGUCAGCGCAAGCGAAGCUCUUGAUCGAAGCCCCGGUAAACGGCGGCCGUAACUAUAACGGUCCUAAGGUAGCGAAAUUCCUUGUCGGGUAAGUUCCGACCUGCACGAAUGGCGUAAUGAUGGCCAGGCUGUCUCCACCCGAGACUCAGUGAAAUUGAACUCGCUGUGAAGAUGCAGUGUACCCGCGGCAAGACGGAAAGACCCCGUGAACCUUUACUAUAGCUUGACACUGAACAUUGAGCCUUGAUGUGUAGGAUAGGUGGGAGGCUUUGAAGUGUGGACGCCAGUCUGCAUGGAGCCGGCCUUGAAAUACCACCCUUUAAUGUUUGAUGUUCUAACGUGGACCCGUGAUCCGGGUUGCGGACAGUGUCUGGUGGGUAGUUUGACUGGGGCGGUCUCCUCCUAAAGAGUAACGGAGGAGCACGAAGGUUGGCUAAUCCUGGUCGGACAUCAGGAGGUUAGUGCAAUGGCAUAAGCCAGCUUGACUGCGAGCGUGACGGCGCGAGCAGGUGCGAAAGCAGGUCAUAGUGAUCCGGUGGUUCUGAAUGGAAGGGCCAUCGCUCAACGGAUAAAAGGUACUCCGGGGAUAACAGGCUGAUACCGCCCAAGAGUUCAUAUCGACGGCGGUGUUUGGCACCUCGAUGUCGGCUCAUCACAUCCUGGGGCUGAAGUAGGUCCCAAGGGUAUGGCUGUUCGCCAUUUAAAGUGGUACGCGAGCUGGGUUUAGAACGUCGUGAGACAGUUCGGUCCCUAUCUGCCGUGGGCGCUGGAGAACUGAGGGGGGCUGCUCCUAGUACGAGAGGACCGGAGUGGACGCAUCACUGGUGUUCGGGUUGUCAUGCCAAUGGCACUGCCCGGUAGCUAAAUGCGGAAGAGAUAAGUGCUGAAAGCAUCUAAGCACGAAACUUGCCCCGAGAUGAGUUCUCCCUGACCCUUUAAGGGUCCUGAAGGAACGUUGAAGACGACGACGUUGAUAGGCCGGGUGUGUAAGCGCAGCGAUGCGUUGAGCUAACCGGUACUAAUGAACCGUGAGG
rnacentral:rRNA from 1 species